rnacentral:rRNA from 1 species
AACGAACGCUGGCGGCAGGCUUAACACAUGCAAGUCGAGCGCAUCCUCCGGGGUGAGCGGCGGACGGGUGAGUAACGCGUGGGAACGUGCCCUCUUCUACGGAAUAGCCCCGGUAAACGGAGAGUAAUGCCGGAUACGCCCGCAAGGGGAAAGAUUCAUCGGAGGAGGAACGGCCCGCGUUGGACGAGGUUGGCGGGGGGGUAAAGGCCCACCAAGGCGACGAUCCGUAGCGGGGUUGAGAGGAUGAUCAGCCACACUGGAACUGAGACACGGCCCAGACUCCUACGGGAGGCAGCAGUGGGGAAUAUUGGACAAUGGGCGCAAGCCUGAUCCAGCCAUACCGCGUGAGUGAAGAAGGCCUUCGGGUUGUAAAGCCCUUUUGUUGGGAAAGAAAAGCAGCAGGGUAAGACCCCGCUGUUCUGACGGGACCCAAAGAAUAAGCACCGGCUAACUUCGUG